UUUGUGUCCCGCUUUCGCAGCGUUCGCCUCGUUAAAUUUGGAACCGCUCGGACGCAACGUCGUCGUGUGCUCAUUUUGUUGCUAUUUCCUUUAGUCGUACGAUCUAGCGCCUAUCGCGCUGUGUGCUCAAUUUCUUGUGCCGUAAAAUAAAACCACUUAAUUUCAUAUGUGCAAUUAUUUAACUUAAACCUCCUGUGUUAAGUUGCUAGGCUUAAUUUAAUACACACACACACACAUAUAACCACCAAACUUCAAGUUUAUAAGAAAAAGAACAAAAGCAAGAGAAAUAUUGCAUUGUGACAAAGUUCCAAGUGCAGCGACGCUGACGUUGACGCUGGCGCUCCGUCGGCUGUAUGUGUGUCUUAAUUUUGUGCUUCCUGUGGAGAGCAGACAACAACAAACAACAGCAAUAAAAUAUAAAAGCAACAAGUGGAAGCAGCAGCAACUACAACAACCACAACAAUAACAACAGCAACAGAUUUGUUCAAAAGCCGGCUGCGCAGUGAGAAGAGAGCGCCGCAAAGUAAGGAACCAAA